rnacentral:rRNA from 1 species
AUAGGAGGUCCAGCCUGCCCAGUGACUACGGGUUUAACGGCCGCGGUAUUUUGACCGUGCAAAGGUAGCGCAAUCACUUGUCUCUUAAAUAGAGACCUGUAUGAAUGGCUAGACGAGGGCUUAACUGUCUCCCCCCUCCAGUCAGUGAAAUUGAUCUAUCCGUGCAGAAGCGGGUGUGAUUAUACAAGACGAGAAGACCCUUUGGAGCUUAAGGUACAAAAUUCAACCACGUUAAACGACUCUGUAAAAGGCAGGAACUUAGUGGCACAUGAAGUUUUACCUUCGGUUGGGGCGACCACGGAGGAGAGAAAAGCCUCCGAGUGGACUGGGCCAAGUCCCAAAGCUAAGAGAUACAUCUCUAAGCCGCAGAAUAUCUGACCAAAAUGAUCCGACUAAUAAAGUCGAUCAACGAACCAAGUUACCCUAGGGAUAACAGCGCAAUCCUCUCCCAGAGUCCAUAUCGACGAGGGGGUUNNNGACCUCGAUGUUGGAUCAGGACAUCCUAAUGGUGCAGCCGCUAUUAAGGGUUCGUUUGUUCAA